CAGUCGCCGCGGUAAUACGUAGGUCCCGAGCGUUGUCCGGAUUUAUUGGGCGUAAAGGGAGCGCAGGCGGUUUAGUAAGUCUGAAGUUAAAGGCAUUGGCUCAACCAAUGUAUGCUUUGGAAACUGUUAGACUUGAGUGCAGAAGGGGAGAGUGGAAUUCCAUGUGUAGCGGUGAAAUGCGUAGAUAUAUGGGGGAACACCGGUGGCGAAAGCGGCUCUCUGGUCUGUCACUGACGCUGAGGCUCGAAAGCGUGGGUAGCGAACAGGAUUAGAUACCCGUGUAGUCCCUGUCUCUUAUACA
rnacentral:rRNA from 1 species